rnacentral:lncRNA from 1 species
GGAUGAUCUGCUCGUCGAACCUACUCCUUCGCCGCAGCCUCAGCCUCAGCAGCAGCUCCACUUAGGCACUCUUGUGAGUAACAUGGUUCUUAUACACAUGUCAUCUCAAUUCCGGUUCCGUUUGGAUUAUCUCACGGUCAAUCUCCUACUUCGUGCAGCCUCAGUCCGCGGGUUCUAAUAACCCGCCGCAGCAGCAGCAGCCUGGUACAGGCAAUCCUUCACCGUCGUCGUGGCCAGCGUGGACGCAGUGAGUAGGUCCUUCUCUUGCUUUUGUAGUUGUGGUCUAGAUUAUGGACAUGUUGUCAUGAACUUGUGUGGACAUGUGUUACGCUUCUGUCAUGAUGAACUUAUGUAUGGACCUUACGUCGUGAUGCGAUGGAUGUGAUGAACUUAUGUGCUUGUGAGAUAUUGUGAUGAUCUUAUGGAUUUUAUAUGUGAUUGUGAUAUAUCGUGUGAUAAUAUAUGUGAUUUCGGCUAUAUAUGUGA